rnacentral:rRNA from 1 species
AGAUUGAACGCUGGCGGCAUGCCUUACACAUGCAAGUCGACGGGCAGCACGGGUGCUUGCACCUGGUGGCGAGUGGCGAACGGGUGAGUAAUACAUCGGAACAUGUCCUGUAGUGGGGGAUAGCCCGGCGAAAGCCGGAUUAAUACCGCAUACGAUCUACGGAUGAAAGCGGGGGACCUUCGGGCCUCGCGCUAUAGGGUUGGCCGAUGGCUGAUUAGCUAGUUGGUGGGGUAAAGGCCUACCAAGGCGACGAUCAGUAGCUGGUCUGAGAGGACGACCAGCCACACUGGGACUGAGACACGGCCCAGACUCCUACGGGAGGCAGCAGUGGGGAAUUUUGGACAAUGGGCGAAAGCCUGAUCCAGCAAUGCCGCGUGUGUGAAGAAGGCCUUCGGGUUGUAAAGCACUUUUGUCCGGAAAGAAAUCCUUGGUUCUAAUAUAGCCGGGGGAUGACGGUACCGGAAGAAUAAGCACCGGCUAACUACGUGCCAGCAGCCGCGGUAAUACGUAGGGUGCGAGCGUUAAUCGGAAUUACUGGGCGUAAAGCGUGCGCAGGCGGUUUGUUAAGACCGAUGUGAAAUCCCCGGGCUCAACCUGGGAACUGCAUUGGUGACUGGCAAGCUAGAGUAUGGCAGAGGGGGGUAGAAUUCCACGUGUAGCAGUGAAAUGCGUAGAGAUGUGGAGGAAUACCGAUGGCGAAUGCAGCCCCCUGGGCCAAUACUGACGCUCAUGCACCAAAGUGAGCAAACAGGAUUAGAUACCCUGGUAGUCCACGCCCUCAUGUCAACUAGUUGUUGGGGAUUCAUUUCCUUAGUAACGUAGCUAACGCGUGAAGUUGACCGCCUGGGGAGUACGGUCGCAAGAUUAAAACUCAAGGGAAUUGACGGGGACCCGCACAAGCGGUGGAUGAUGUGGAUUAAUUCGAUGCAACGCGAAAAACCUUACCUACCCUUGACAUGGUCGGAAUCCCGCUGAGAGGUGGGAGUGCUCGAAAGAGAACCGGCGCACAGGUGCUGCAUGGC